AUAAUGAUUUCUCCCGCCGUCCUUGGCUUUCUGCCCUCCAGUUUCUCGGUGCUGAAGAUGGUUUGAUUCCGAGCACACCUAUCAGCUCUAUCAAGAAAUGUCUCAAUGGCGACAAGGUUGUUCAGGUUGUAGCUAUUGUCAAGUCAUGCACUCCUAAU